rnacentral:tRNA from 1 species
GGAGGCACGCAACUGACAGCGCUUAUUGGUCCUGAAAACCAUGAAGUCGGCUAUCGCUGACGUGCAGGUUGGAUUCCUGCUGCCUCCG